UCUCUGGGAGGAGAGGUGGCCCGGGAAUGAAGUGUGACAGUGGCCCUACUCGCCGCCGCCAUGGAGCAGACUCGCGCUGCUGCUCGCCUGCGGAGGAUUUUGGGGCACCUUGGCGGUUCCUCGGUUCGAGCCGUGGUAUCCUUUGGGGUAGCUCACUGCACUUCAGGGAAGAUUACCCCUACAAAUUUCCAUCCUCAGCAAUUCYAGUAUACUUUGGAUAAUAAUGUGCUGAGCCUGGAACAGAGACAAUUUUAUGAAGAAAAUGGAUUUCUUGUUAUUAAAAAUCUAGUAUCUGAUGCUGAUAUUCAACGCUUCAGGGUUGCAUUUGAAAAGAUCUGCAGUGAGGAGUCCAAACCUGCAGGACUCAUUAUAAUAAGAGAUGUGUCCUCUGUGGAAUCAGAGGAUAUGCCAAGUGAGAAAACAAUUGCAAGGAUUCAAGAUUACCAGGAAGAUAAGGAGCUCUUUAGAUACUGCACUCUCCCAGAGGUUCUGAAGUAUGUAGAGUGCUUCACUGGACCCAAUGUCAUGGCCAUGCACACAAUGCUGAUAAACAAACCUCCAGAUACAGGCAGGAAGACUUCCCGGCACCCCUUGCACCAGGAUCUGCACUUUUUCCCCUUCAGGCCCAGCAAUCGCAUUGUUUGUGCUUGGACCGCCAUGGAGCACAUUGACCUGAACAAUGGCUGUCUGGCUGUCCUCCCAGGCACUCACAAACUUCCUCUGAAGCCACAUGACUACCCCCAGUGGGAGGGUGGAGUUAACAUUUUCUACUAUGGGAUCCAGGACUAUGACCAGGACCAUGCCCGAGUGCACCUUGUGAUGGAGAAGGGAGACACCGUUUUCUUCCACCCAUUGCUCAUCCAUGGAUCUGGUCAGAAUCAAACUCAAGGAUUCCGGAAAGCAAUUUCCUGCCAUUUUGCCAGUUCUGAUUGCCACUACAUUGAUGUGAAGGGCACCAGUCAAGAACACGUUGAGAAAGAAGCUGUGGGAAUAACAGAUAMAUUAUAUGGAAGUGACAGUGGCUUAGACUUGAAGAAUGCAAUGAACACUCUGUAAUGCACUUGCUGUAAGGAUAAAUUGAAGACCCAGAGACUGGCCUAAGAAACAGAGCUAGAUUUCAAAGUCAGGCCUAAUUCUGAAAUCAUUCUUUCCACAAUACCUUGCUGUCUGCUCAACAAGAAACAAGAAACAAGAAAUUAGAAGGAUAUUUGGAUGUUUCGAGCCCGACUUGUGAAAGGAGAAAGAAUCACUCUUUGAAACAGUUCUUGAUUAUAACUCUUCCAAAAGGAGAUGAAAAAAACAAGGAGUCUAAGGAAAAUGUUUUCAUAUGGGAUGAUGUAAUAUUUUCUAUCACUUGGUACCAAAAUCAAGAAACACGCCUUGGGAACUUCAUUUUGCAGAGUUAAUUUUGCAGUGCAGUGAUGUUACUUUAGUGGAAGUAAGAACAGUAAAAUGAAAUAUAACUAUU